rnacentral:rRNA from 1 species
CUUCCCCUUCGGGGGACAAAGUGACAGGUGGUGCAUGGUUGUCGUCAGCUCGUGUCGUGAGAUGUUGGGUUAAGUCCCGCAACGAGCGCAACCCUUAAGCUUAGUUGCCAGCAUUAAGUUGGGCACUCUAAGUUGACUGCCGGUGACAAACCGGAGGAAGGUGGGGAUGACGUCAAAUCAUCAUGCCCCUUAUGAUUUGGGCUACACACGUGCUACAAUGGACGGUACAAAGGGCAGCGAACCCG